rnacentral:lncRNA from 1 species
CUCAACGCCCUUUGCGCGUCUGUUAAAGUGCAACCGCGAAUUUGGAGCCAAGGAGACUCGCAUGGGAAGAGUGGGGGCAAAUACUUCGGCUCGGGAAAUUUCGCGCAGAGCCUGAGGCAGUUAACCUGCCUGGGGCCGGCGUGGCCAGGGCGAGCGAGAUCGCUGUCCGGGCUGACAGUGAUUUACGCGCUGGUGACACAAGUCGGCCAUAAACCUGGGUUGUGAGACGGUCUUUGGGAGCUGCGGCGGAGUUAACGCAGGGCUGCUCAGCCCAGAGGACGGAUCCUCCAACCUGCGCGCCUUUCCCAGCCUCCAUACCCGCAAUCAGAUACCGAAGCGCUUCUCUCGCCAUUCACAAUUCUCAGCAGAUGGUCUCCCCGAAGCUUGCGGCGGCCUCACCAGACUUAGCCGAGGAGACGCCUCCGCCAGGCAGGCCUCGGGUGGGGGCCGCGGGAUCUCAGAUAGGAUCCGCGGAUGCUGACUUGACCGUGGCAGGUUCCCUCCCCGUUCGUUUCUCAGCUCAGCAGUUGGAAAAUUCAUUUUAUAACUAUCUCCAAACAAAAAUACACGACUAAGAAAGAUUGCAAAGAAUUAAACUGAAGUCGGGCACCAAUGAUUUGGAAAGAUUUUCCCUCGAGACUGGAAGAGGGGGCUAUCCCCUUUUACAACUCGUGCUGUUUCUUCCAACUUUGUCUUCGACUUGGUUCCAGAGAGCCACGCGGACAGGGUCUUGAAAUAGAACGGGGCAGAACGUGUGGUUCCUCUUGCUCCCUCCCGUGUUGAGUCCCCGAACCCCAUGUCCACCCCCACCCCGCCGUUGAAGCAGAGACGCGGGAAAAGCCGCCAAUUUCUAGGCACCAGGCCCUGCUGUAGGAAGACUGUGAGAUAAAGGAUGCGAUAGGGAGGCCUUAAGUGCUCCGCGGAGAUAAGGUCCCUGAGUAUCAGAGGCAUUUAGCCCUGCUUCCCUGCUUUGCCUCUUGUUUAUAUCACACCGCUUGCCCCCCUCCACACACACCCCCCCGCCUCCCACACCUGGAGGGAGAGGAAGCUGUCGGAGAGGUGGUUGGGCAAGACGCUCGGUUGCCUCCAACCCCUGGCCGUCAGACUCUCCUAAGGCCACGCGAUUUGCUUAGUCCUGGUGGAAAUUACUUAGGAUACUAAGAUAUGUCAAUGGUCCGGCACAACAAAGUUCAAAAGGAGACAGCCCUCCAUUAUUCAUAAAUAUUACUCCAAUUGUGUUAAAGGCUUUAAGUGAUUUUUAUUUCGUUUGGAGUCUCCGGUGGUAUACUUAGGAUGCUGAAAGAGAUCGGGUAUGAUUUGUGCUGGUCACGUGCCAAAACACUGUUAAAGUGAAAGGAAAAAAGGAACUAAAAGUUUUGUAAGGACGCACGUCACAUUUAAGACAACCAUAUACAAAACGCUCGCAUAAUUU